rnacentral:rRNA from 1 species
CAGUCGCCGCGGGAAUACGUAGGUGGCAAGCGUUGUCCGGAAUUAUUGGGCGUAAAGGGCUCGCAGGCGGUUUCUUAAGUCUUAUGUGAAAUCUAUGGGCUCAACCCAUAGUCUGCAUAGGAAACUGUCGGGCUUGAGAGUGGGAGAGGUGAGUGGAAUUUCCGGUGUAGCGGUGAAAUGCGUAGAUAUCGGAAGGAACACCUGUGGCGAAAGCGGCUCACUGGACCAUUUCUGACGCUGAUGCACGAAAGCUAGGGGAGCAAACAGGAUUAGAUACCCGCGUAGUCCCUGUCUCUUAUAC